rnacentral:tRNA from 1 species
GGGGUCGUGGUGUAGCGGCAGCACAGCAGACUUUUAAUCUGGCAGGUGAGGGUUCGACCCCUUCCGGCCCCA